rnacentral:rRNA from 1 species
UACGGAGGAUGCAAGCGUUAUUCGGAAUGAUUGGGCGUAAAGCGUCCGCAGGUGGCAAUGUAAGUCUGCUGUCAAAGCGUCUGGCUCAACCAGAUAAAGGCAGUGGAAACUACAUAGCUAGAGUAAGGUAGGGGUAGAGGGAAUUCCUGGUGUAGCGGUGAAAUGCGUAGAGAUCAGGAAGAACACCGGUGGCGAAAGCGCUCUGCUGGACCUUAACUGACACUGAGGGACGAAAGCGUGGGGAGCGAACAGG